rnacentral:rRNA from 1 species
UACGUAGGGGGCAAGCGUUGUCCGGAAUCAUUGGGCGUAAAGAGCGUGUAGGCGGCUUCGUCAGUCCGUUGUGAAAGUCCAGGGCUCAACCCUGGAAUGCCGAUGGAUACUGCGGAGCUAGAGUCCGGAAGAGGCGAGUGGAAUUCCUGGUGUAGCGGUGAAAUGCGCAGAUAUCAGGAGGAACACCUAUGGCGAAGGCAGCUUUCUGGGACGGUACUGACGCUGAGACGCGAAAGCGUGGGGAGCGAACAGG